rnacentral:rRNA from 1 species
CCAGACUCCUACGGGAGGCAGCAGUGGGGAAUAUUGGACAAUGGACCGAGAGUCUGAUCCAGCAAUUCUGUGUGCACGAUGAAGUUUUUCGGAAUGUAAAGUGCUUUCAGUUGGGAAGAAAGAAAUGACGGUACCAACAGAAGAAGUGACGGCUAAAUACGUGCCAGCAGCCGCGGUAAUACGUAUGUCACGAGCGUUAUCCGGAUUUAUUGGGCGUAAAGCGCGUCUAGGUGGUUAUAUAAGUCUGAUGUGAAAAUGCAGGGCUCAACUCUGUAUUGCGUUGGAAACUGUAUAACUAGAGUACUGGAGAGGUAAGCGGAACUACAAGUGUAGAGGUGAAAUUCGUAGAUAUUUGUAGGAAUGCCGAUGGGGAAGCCAGCUUACUGGACAGAUACUGACGCUGAAGCGCGAAAGCGUGGGUAGCAAACAGGAUUAGAUACCCUGGUAGUCCACGCCGUAAACGAUGAUUACUAGGUGUUGGGGGUCGAACCUCAGCGCCCAAGCAAACGCGAUAAGUAAUCCGCCUGGGGAGUACGUACGCAAGUAUGAAACUCAAAGGAAUUGACGGGGGCCCGCACAAG